rnacentral:rRNA from 1 species
UACGUAGGGUGCAGGCGUUAAUCGGAAUUACUGGGCGUAAAGCGUGCGCAGGCGGCUUCCUAAGUCAGAUGUGAAAUCCCCGGGCUUAACCUGGGAACUGCGUUUGAAACUGGGAGGCUCGAGUGCGGCAGAGGGGGGUGGAAUUCCACGUGUAGCAGUGAAAUGCGUAGAUAUGUGGAGGAACACCGAUGGCGAAGGCAGCCCCCUGGGCCUGCACUGACACUCAUGCACGAAAGCGUGGGGAGCAAACAGG